rnacentral:rRNA from 1 species
GUCGUGAGACAGUUCGGUCCCUAUCCGUCGUGGGCGUAGGAAAUUUGAGAGGAGCUGUCCUUAGUACGAGAGGACCGGGAUGGACAUACCUCUGGUGUACCAGUUGUCGUGCCAACGGCAUAGCUGGGUAGCUAUGUGUGGACGGGAUAAGUGCUGAAAGCAUCUAAGCAUGAAGCCCCCCUCAAGAUGAGAUUUCCCAACUUCGGUUAUAAGAUCCCUCAAAGAUGAUGAGGUUAAUAGGUUCGAGGUGGAAGCAUGGUGACAUGUGGAGCUGACGAAUACUAAUCGAUCGAAGACUUAAUCAA